rnacentral:rRNA from 1 species
UACAGAGGUCUCAAGCGUUGUUCGGAUUCAUUGGGCGUAAAGGGUGCGUAGAUGGCGCUGUAAGUCGGGUGUGAAAUUUCGGAGCUUAACUCCGAAACUGCAUUCGAUACUGCGGUGCUUGAGGACUGGAGAGGAGACUGGAAUUCAUGGUGUAGCAGUGAAAUGCGUAGAGAUCAUGAGGAAGACCAGUGGCGAAGGCGGGUCUCUGGACAGUUCCUGACACUGAGGCACGAAGGCCAGGGGAGCAAACGGG